GAUUGCCAUCUUUUAUGGCGUCAUUUUCAAAAACUGAAGUUCAUGGGUUCGAUCCCAGUCUGUACCUGGUUUAAGAAUUGCUGCUAUCAUUUCCUUGUAGUUUCAAUGGAGUGGUGUAUAUAAAAAGUACAUUGUAUUGAUAUUGCAUUUUAUCUGCAAAUGAAAUGGGAUGGAAGCUCAGAGGGGGAGUGCAUGCAAAAUAUGUAUGAGGUCCUCGGUUCAAUCCCAAGAUUCUCCACUGAGUUUAUUUGUGUGCCAAAUUCACAUUUACACAACUACUACUUUCCUGAAUGUUGAUAUAUAAUUCAGAGUGUAGAGUGGCAUGGUGGCCAAGUGGUAAGGUGUUGGUCUUGUAAACCGAAGAUCAUGGGUUCAAAUCCCUUCUGUGCCUUUAUGAAAGACAUCUGAUAUCAUGGACCUGUGCAUUAAUUGGAGGACUUUGCAGAAAAUCAAGUUGUAUCAUUAUGGCAACUCAGCUAUUAUAGUAAGGGGAUGAAUCUCUAUGGUAGAGCCAGUACUUUACAUGAAUGCGGUCCAACGUUAAUCCCCAACUUCUCUGUUGAGUGUAAUUAGUUGUUAAAUUAGCUUUUGCACAACUCCCACUUUCCAGAAUGUUGACAUUCUAAGAAGGAAAUAGAUAUGCUAAAUCAUCUGUUUCUGUAAACUGAAGCACAUGGGUUCAAUCCUUGUUUGACGUUUAUGGAAGAUAGC
rnacentral:tRNA from 1 species